GAUGAACGCUGGCGGCGUGCUUAACACAUGCAAGUCGAGCGAAGCACUUAAGUUCGAUUCUUCGGAUGAAGACUUUUGUGACUGAGCGGCGGACGGGUGAGUAACGCGUGGGUAACCUGCCUCAUACAGGGGGAUAACAGUUAGAAAUGGCUGCUAAUACCGCAUAAGACCACGGUCCUGCAUGGUACAGUGGUAAAAACUCCGGUGGUAUGAGAUGGACCCGCGUCUGAUUAGGUAGUUGGUGAGGUAACGGCUCACCAAGCCGACGAUCAGUAGCCGACCUGAGAGGGUGACCGGCCACAUUGGGACUGAGACACGGCCCAGACUCCUACGGGAGGCAGCAGUGGGGAAUAUUGCACAAUGGGCGAAAGCCUGAUGCAGCGACGCCGCGUGAAGGAUGAAGUAUUUCGGUAUGUAAACUUCUAUCAGCAGGGAAGAAAAUGACGGUACCUGACUAAGAAGCUCCGGCUAACUACGUGCCAGCAGCCGCAGUAA
rnacentral:rRNA from 1 species